CGCGUAGGCGGCCUGAUAAGUAGGAGGUGAAAUCCUGGGGCUUAACCUCAGGGCUGCCUUCUAGACUGUCCGGCUCGAGCACAGUAGAGGCAGGUGGAAUUCCCGGUGUAGCGGUGGAAUGCGUAGAGAUCGGGAAGAACAUCGGUGGCGAAGGCGGCCUGCUGGGCUGUUGCUGACGCUGAGGCGCGACAGCGUGGGGAGCAAACAGGAUUAGAUACCCUGGUAGUCCACGCCGUAAACGAUGGGUACUAGGCGUCGGGGGGAGCGACCCCCUCGGUGCCGUCGCUAACGCAGUAAGUACCCCGCCUGGGGAGUACGGCCGCAAGGCUGAA
rnacentral:rRNA from 1 species